AAGUCGUAACAAGGUUUCCGUAGGUGAACCUGCGGAAGGAUCAUUACCGAGUAAGGGUCUUCCAGGCCCGACCUCCAACCCUCUGUUUAACCAACCACGUUGCUUUGGCGGGCCCGUCCUUUGGGGCCGCCGGGGGCUUUACCGCCUCUGGCCCGUGCCCGCCGGUAGCCAUUUUAAAUUCUGAUAACUGUGCCGUCUGAGUAUAGAUAUAAAUCGUUAAAAACUUUCAACAACGGAUCUCUUGGUUCUG
rnacentral:misc_RNA from 1 species